rnacentral:piRNA from 1 species
UUUUUCAGGCAAGGAAUGAUG